UCCAAUCUUCCAUUUUGCCCUCUUUUCUCAUCCUCGAAUUGAAUCUAGCUUCUGCAGUUAUCACGAACCAACCUUCAAAUUCUUCAAUCCCAAGCUAUUCACAAACCAACCUCCAACUUUCUCUCCAACACUUUUCCCAAGUCGAAGAAAAGUUUUGUUUUUAUUCUUCAAUAAUGUAUUUCUGUUGUGCCCCGAUCUGUUUCAGGUGAUCUUUAUUCAUGUGGAAUCGAAUAAUGAAGAUGCAGGAAAGCCUGUUGCAGAUUAUUUUGGAAUCACAGGGAAUGAUCCCAAAGUAAUAAUUUCCCGUCUCUUCUUUAUUUUAUUUUUGUGGUUGAGUCACGGGAUUCUUCUCUUGUUAUUUUGCAGUAGAUUAUUUUGCAUACACAAGAAAUGAUGAUGGAAGAAAAAAUUUGCUUGAUGGAGAGGUCACUAUUGACACAAUUACGGUCAUGGUAAGCAGGGUAGCUGGCACCUAUUUUCCGAGGAACCUGAUGAUGGGUAUGCGAUUUCUCAGUCCACCAAUUUAUUUAUACAUGAUUUUUUUAUGCUUAUGCAGGGUUGUGGGAUCUGAGUUUGUGCAAAAGUAUGUUGGUGAGGGUCCACGAAUGAAACAACUCUUUGUUGAGAUCUAAUGCUACCCUUUUCUCUGAUGGCCAUCAUCACCAAUCACAAAUGUUGAGCUUCUCUUCUCCAAAGUCAGAGUCUUUGUUGGUAGAUAAGGCUUCCUCAAAUGCCACAUUGCCUUUUUCUUACCACCAAUUGUCUAGCAACACCAGAAAUGCAGGAGAUUUGCUUCGUAUUGUAGAACUUCAAGAGGAAGUUUAUGGACUCAAGCAAGGAUCACACACUGUAACAGAUUACUACACAAAACUAAAGUGAAUUUGGGAGGAACUCAACAAUUACCGUCCCAUGAUUCCAUGCAUGCACAUGCUCAGCCAAAGUCUACCACGACUAGGAUUUCAUUAUUCGAUUCCUUAAAGGACUUGCUGAGCAUUUUUCUGUUUCUCAUGGAACCACUGCCUUCAACCAAUAGAGUCUUCUCUAUGGUCAUUCAAUAUGAAAGGCAACAACUACCAGGACAAGCUAUUGUGGAGGAGCAAAAUAGCUUUGCCAAUGCUGCUGAGAAACGUCACUUUUCUAACAAAGGAAAAGGAGUUUCUUAUGAUGGUGCUAAGGGAAAUCCCACUCACAACAGUGGAAAUCAAGGCUCAAACAAAGAGUGGACACACAAGUCACACUGUGGGCGUUUGUUACAGCAAGCAUGGACAACCUCUUAGGCAUCCUCGCUAUCCCGAAAGGCCAGGAUACCAUAAUCAUGCAUCCAGUGGAGCUGCUGCUAACAACAUCGCUGCAAAUGCAGUCCAUGAAGCAACAAAAAACAAUGGAAAUGAGGAAGAUUCAUUUGGACUAAGUUUGAAUGUCGCACCAGCAUAAUAUCAACGUUUUAUUGUUGUUCUCCAACAAACAUGUUUCAAAUGUCUCCGCUUAUUCCACACAAUUAUCUAAAGUUCAUGAAGCUUGGUUCUAAGCUUGAUACCUUUCAAACUGAUGGAAACAAUGUUAGGGAGUCAGGAGGAGCACCAAACUGAGUUUCAAAUUUCAACAUUCAACAGAGGCAGAAGCUGAUGAAGGAGAAAAACAAGAAAAGAAAAAGUAAAACAAAAAAGAAAGAAAAAAAGACAAUCAAUCAGAGAAUGAGUUGAUAUGGGAAUGAGCUGCUUGAAGAUGAUUGGCUUGCCUAAAUUGUAGAGGGUCUUUAUCACCUCACCAUCAGCAAACAUAACACAGUUCCUCCAACUAGACCAUCUUACAUGAACAACAUCACCACAACUCCAGUCACCAAUUCCAACAUUUGGCAUUUUAGAUUAGGACAUUUGUAUGAAAAUUGUUUAAAUGUUUUGCAUCAACAAUUCCCCUGUAUUCCAAAGUUUAUCAAUGAAACAUGUGAUGUUUGUCAUUUGGCUAAUCAACCAAAGCUACCAUAUUCUUAGUAAAGCUUUUAGGAUUGUAUUAAGAGCUAGGCAGUCAGAACAAAAAUUUGGUUACAAACAACUUGACUCCUCCUUCGUGUCCCAAAAUACAGAAGUUGACAAAUAGUCAAUAGCACCCUGUAGCAGGAUAGAGGAUUAAGCAUGUUGUUAAUAGUGCAUGAUAACUAUAACAAGCCUUAUUUUGAUUGUCUUGAGAGUUAGGCAGGCAAAACGGAAUUUUUGUUGACCUC